GUAGAAAGGAUCUCGCUUUGGCUUUGAUGAAGAGAGGAGUGUCGUUAGACCCUUUGGCAGGUUGGUCCAAGGUUGGAUUAAAAAUCAUGGAAAGUCCUGUCCCCGUCGGUGCAACUCCUGAAUACUUAAGU
rnacentral:ribozyme from 1 species